GGUUAAGCGAAUAAGCGUACACGGUGGAUGCCUAGGCAAUCAGAGGCGAUGAAGGACGUGCUAAUCUGCGAAAAGCGUCGGUAAGGUGAUAUGAACCGUUAUACCCGACGAUAUCCGAAUGGGGAAACCCAGUAUCCAAUGGAUACUAUCAUUAACUGAAUCCAUAGGUUAAUGAGGCGAACCGGGAGAACUGAAACAUCUCAGUACCCCGAGGAAAAGAAAUCAACCGAGAUUCCCCUAGUAGCGGCGAGCGAACGGGGAGCAGCCCAGAGUCUUAAUCAAUAGCAGUGUCAGGAGAACGGUCUGGAAAGUCCGGCAGUAAAGGGUGAUAGCCCCGUAUCUGAAGAUGCUGUUAUUGUGAACUCGACGAGUAGGGCGGGACACGUGUUAUCCUGUCUGAAUAUGGGGGGACCAUCCUCCAAGGCUAAAUACUCCUGAUUGACCGAUAGUGAACCAGUACCGUGAGGGAAAGGCGAAAAGAACCCCGGCGAGGGGAGUGAAAAAGAACCUGAAACCGUGUACGUACAAGCAGUAGGAGCCUCUUUAUGGGGUGACUGCGUACCUUUUGUAUAAUGGGUCAGCGACUUAUAUUCUGUAGCAAGGUUAACCGUAUAGGGGAGCCGUAGGGAAACCGAGUCUUAACUGGGCGAAUGAGUUGCAGGGUAUAGACCCGAAACCCGGUGAUCUAUCCAUGGGCAGGUUGAAGGUUGGGUAACACUAACUGGAGGACCGAACCGACUAAUGUUGAAAAAUUAGCGGAUGACUUGUGGAUGGGGGUGAAAGGCCAAUCAAACCGGGAGAUAGCUGGUUCUCCCCGAAAGCUAUUUAGGUAGCGCCUCGUGAACUCAUCUUCGGGGGUAGAGCACUGUUUCGACUAGGGGGUCAUCCCGACUUACCAACUCGAUGCAAACUGCGAAUACCGAAGAAUGUUAUCACGGGAGACACACGGCGGGUGCUAACGUCCGUCGUGAAGAGGGAAACAACCCAGACCGCCAGCUAAGGUCCCAAAGUCAUGGUUAAGUGGGAAACGAAGUGGGAAGGCUCAGACAGCCAGGAUGUUGGCUUAGAAGCAGCCAUCAUUUAAAGAAAGCGUAAUAGCUCACUGGUCGAGUCGGCCCGCGCGGAAGAUGUAACGGGGCUAAACCAUGCACCGAAGCUGCGGCAGCGACACAAUGUGUUGUUGGGUAGGGGAGCGUUCUGUAAGCCUGCGAAGGUGUACUGUGAGGUAUGCUGGAGGUAUCAGAAGUGCGAAUGCUGACAUAAGUAACGAUAAUGCGGGUGAAAAACCCGCACGCCGGAAGACCAAGGGUUCCUGUCCAACGUUAAUCGGGGCAGGGUGAGUCGACCCCUAAGGCGAGGCUGAAAAGCGUAGUCGAUGGGAAACGGGUUAAUAUUCCCGUACUGGUGGUAACUGCGAUGGGGGAACGGAGAAGGCUAGGUUGUCCGGGCGACGGUCGUCCCGGUUCAAGCAGGUAGGCAGAGUGAUUAGGCAAAUCCGGUCACUUAAUGCUGAGAUGUGAUGACGAACCACCAAGGUGGUGAAGCAAUUGAUGCCCCGCUUCCAGGAAAAGCCUCUAAGCUUCAGGUUACCAACAAUCGUACCCCAAACCGACACAGGUGGUCAGGUAGAGAAUACUCAGGCGCUUGAGAGAACUCGGGUGAAGGAACUAGGCAAAAUGGUGCCGUAACUUCGGGAGAAGGCACGCUGGCGGUAAGUAAAGUCCCUCGCGGACAGAGCUGAAGCCAGUCGAAGAUACCAGCUGGCUGCAACUGUUUAUUAAAAACACAGCACUGUGCAAACACGAAAGUGGACGUAUACGGUGUGACGCCUGCCCGGUGCUGGAAGGUUAAUUGAUGGGGUCAGCCGUAAGGCGAAGCUCCUGAUCGAAGCCCCAGUAAACGGCGGCCGUAACUAUAACGGUCCUAAGGUAGCGAAAUUCCUUGUCGGGUAAGUUCCGACCUGCACGAAUGGCGUAAUGAUGGCCAGGCUGUCUCCACCCGAGACUCAGUGAAAUUGAACUCGCUGUGAAGAUGCAGUGUACCCGCGGCAAGACGGAAAGACCCCGUGAACCUUUACUAUAGCUUGACACUGAACAUUGAGCCUUGAUGUGUAGGAUAGGUGGGAGGCUUUGAAGUGUGGACGCCAGUCUGCAUGGAGCCAACCUUGAAAUACCACCCUUUAACGUUUGAUGUUCUAACCUAGGCCCAUAAACUGGGUCGGGGACCGUGUCUGGUGGGUAGUUUGACUGGGGCGGUCUCCUCCUAAAGAGUAACGGAGGAGCACGAAGGUUGGCUAAGCAUGGUCGGACAUCAUGCGGUUAGUGCAAAGGCAUAAGCCAGCUUGACUGCGAGAGUGACGGCUCGAGCAGGUACGAAAGUAGGUCUUAGUGAUCCGGUGGUUCUGAAUGGAAGGGCCAUCGCUCAACGGAUAAAAGGUACUCCGGGGAUAACAGGCUGAUACCGCCCAAGAGUUCAUAUCGACGGCGGUGUUUGGCACCUCGAUGUCGGCUCAUCACAUCCUGGGGCUGAAGUAGGUCCCAAGGGUAUGGCUGUUCGCCAUUUAAAGUGGUACGCGAGCUGGGUUUAGAACGUCGUGAGACAGUUCGGUCCCUAUCUGCCGUGGGCGUUGGAAGAUUGAGAGGGGUUGCUCCUAGUACGAGAGGACCGGAGUGAACGCACCACUGGUGUUCGGGUUGUCAUGCCAAUGGCAUUGCCCGGUAGCUAAGUGCGGAAGAGAUAACCGCUGAAAGCAUCUAAGCGGGAAACUUGCCUCGAGAUGAGUCUUCCCUGUCGCUUUAAGCGACCUAAAGGAACGUUUAAGACUAAGACGUUGAUAGGCUGGGUGUGUAAGCGUAGCGAUACGUUGAGCUAACCAGUACUAAUGAACCGUGAGGCUUAACCUG
rnacentral:rRNA from 1 species